rnacentral:Y_RNA from 1 species
GGCUGGUCCGAUGGUAAUGGGUUAUCAGAACUUAUUAAUGCUAGUGCCACUAAAGUUGGUAUACAACCCCCCACUGCUAAAUUUGACUGGCCAAAA